AAUCCACCACUCGUUUCUCGAGGCCCUUAAGCAAGUAUAAAAACCUCCCCAACCCCAUCACUUUAAUCACCAAAUUCCUCCACCACUAAUCUUAAAAUUUCAGGCAUUUCUAUUCAACUCUGCUUUCUCAAGAGCUCAAAUUAAGAAACAUGAGCAGGCCAGGAGAUUGGAACUGUAGGUCAUGCAACCAUCUCAACUUCCAAAGGAGGGACUCGUGCCAGAGGUGCGGGGAGCCAAAAAGUGGGGAGAGAGUUGAGUAUGGAAGUUUUGGUGGAAGAGGUGGAGGUGGUGGUUCUUUCGGAUUCACCACUGGUCCGGAUGUCCGCCCGGGUGACUGGUACUGCACCAUUAGCAAUUGUGCAGCGCAUAACUUUGCCAGCCGUUCCAGCUGCUUCAAGUGUGGUGCGUCCAAGGAUGAAUCGUCCAGUGGCGGCGGUGGUGGCUAUGAGGGUAGAGGGUUUGGAUUUGGGAGCGGUGGAAGUAGCUCUGGUCGCUCUGGAUGGAAAUCUGGAGAUUGGAUUUGCACAAGGUCAGGGUGCAAUGAGCACAACUUCGCUAGCAGGAUGGAAUGUUUCAGAUGCAAUGCUCCAAGGGACAACAAUGGUGGCAAGUCUCCAUAUUAACUCGUAAAUUUUCAUCAUUUUCAGUGAGUACUGCUGUACUUUGCUGAAGGAACUGAGAGAAGAACAUGAUUCCCUUAUGAUGGCUUGAGCUAGCAACUCCUUUAGUAGGCCGGAUGACCACCCUCCUAUAUUUUUUUUCCUCUUUCAAUUCCCUUUUCCUUCCCCACUCCUUCAUUUCCAGUUUCUAUCUUUUAUUUUUCUAAGGAGCUUAAUUUGAAUUGUGUCUGAUGAAGACUUGAUGAAGUAGUACUUUAACAAAGCUAAAUGAUUUGUCAUUUUGUGAGCUUUCUUAUGAUAUGAACUAUAUAGGCAUGUAGUUUUCUGGUAGUAUUAAAUCUAAUUUAUCAUCUCUUUC